UGGGGAAUCUUGCACAAUGGGCGAAAGCCUGAUGCAGCGACGCCGCGUGGGGGAUGAAGGCCCUCGGGUUGUAAACCCCUUUCGGCAGGGAAGAAGCCGCAAGGUGACGGUACCUGCAGAAGAAGCCCCGGCCAACUACGUGCCAGCAGCCGCGGUAAGACGUAGGGGGCGAGCGUUGUCCGGAUUCACUGGGCGUAAAGCGCGCGUAGGCGGCUCGUUAAGUCGGAUGUGAAAACCCGGGGCUCAACCCCGGGCCUGCACCCGAUACUGGCGGGCUGGAGGCAGGUAGGGGAGAUCGGAAUUCCCGGUGUAGCGGUGAAAUGCGCAGAUAUCGGGAGGAACACCGGUGGCGAAGGCGGAUCUCUGGGCCUGUCCUGACGCUCAGGCGCGAAAGCUAGGGGAGCAAACAGGAUUAGAUACCCCCGUAGUCC
rnacentral:rRNA from 1 species